rnacentral:rRNA from 1 species
CUUAAGGGUUUGUUUUUUAGAAAAAAGCAGAAAGCGUGUAAAGGUAAAACAUUUAAAAUAAAUAGAAUUUUUUUAGUAAUAGUGCAAUAUUAAAAGAAGAAAAAGAAUUUUUUAUGUGAAGACAAUUUAUUUUUUUCUUUAACACGAAGGUUCUGGGAGCGAACAGGAUUAGAGACCCUGGUAGUCGAUACAGUAAAAGAAAGUCGCUUGAGUAGUACGGUCGCAAGACUAAAAUUCAAAAAACUUGGCUGUUCAUUGUUAUUUAGAGGAGCGUGUUGCUUAAUUCGAUAAUCCGCGAGUUACCUUACCAAAACUGGCUUUUUCAGGUGUUGCA